rnacentral:pre_miRNA from 1 species
AAUAAGUGCAGUUUUGCACUAUUCACGUUCAACGUUUGACCGUCCGUCUUAUUUGAAAAAUUUNAAAAAUUUUUAAAUAAGACGGACGGUCAAACGUUGAACGUGAAUAGUGCAAAACUGCACUUAUU